CCUACGGGAGGCUGCAGUGGGGAAUAUUGGACAAUGGGGGAAACCCUGAUGCAGCGACGCCGCGUGAGUGAGGAAGUAUCUCGGUAUGUAAAGCUUCAUCUGCAGGGGAGAAAAUGACGGUACCUGACUAAGAAGCCCCGUCUAACUACGUGACAGCAGCCGCGGUAACAUGCCGGGGGCAAGGGUUAUCCGGAUUUACGGGGUGUAAUGGGGGCGUAGACGGCUAAUCAAGUCCGAGGUGAAAGCCCAGGGCUCAACCUUGGGACUGCUUUUGAAACUGAGUGGCUGGAGUGCAGGAGAGGUAUGCGGAAUUCGUAGUGUAGCGGUGAAAUGCGUAGAUAUUAGGAGGAACACCGAUGGCGAAGGCAGCUUACUGGACUGUAACUGACGCUGAGGCUCGAAAGCGUGGGGAUCGAACAGGAUUAGAUACCCUUGUAGUC
rnacentral:rRNA from 1 species